GCAAGUCGAACGGGAUUUAGUAGACGGAAGCCUCGGUGGAAGAUUACUAAUGAGAGUGGCGAACGGGUGAGUAACGCGUGAGCAACCUGCCUAUGACAGUGGGAUAGCCUCGGGAAACCGGGAUUAAUACCGCAUAAAAUCGUAGAAACACAUGUUUCAACGGUCAAAGAUUUAUCGGUCAUAGAUGGGCUCGCGUCUGAUUAGCUAGUUGGUGAGAUAACAGCCCACCAAGGCGACGAUCAGUAGCCGGUCUGAGAGGAUGAACGGCCACAUUGGAACUGAGACACGGUCCAAACUCCUACGGGAGGCAGCAGUGGGGAAUAUUGCACAAUGGGGGAAACCCUGAUGCAGCGACGCCGCGUGAGCGAUGAAGGCUUUCGAGUCGUAAAGCUCUGUCCUAUGGGAAGAUAAUGACGGUACCAUAGAAGAAAGCCCCGGCUAAUUACGUGCCAGCAGCCGCGGUAAUACGUAAGGGGCGAGCGUUGUCCGGAAUUAUUGGGCGUAAAGAGUGCGUAGGCGGCAAAUUAAGUCAGAUGUGAAAACUAAGGGCUCAACCCCUAGAUUGCAUCUGAAACUGAUAUGCUUGAGUCAAGGAGAGGAAAGUGGAAUUCCUAGUGUAGCGGUGGAAUGCGUAGAUAUUAGGAGGAAUACCGGUGGCGAAGGCGACUUUCUGGACUUGAACUGACGCUGAGGCACGAAAGCGUGGGGAGCAAACAGGAUUAGAUACCCUGGUAGUCCACGCCGUAAACGAUGAGUGCUAGGUGU
rnacentral:rRNA from 2 species